rnacentral:rRNA from 1 species
CAGUAGCCGCGGGAAUACGUAGGUCCCGAGCGUUGUCCGGAUUUAUUGGGCGUAAAGGGAGCGCAGGCGGUUUAGUAAGUCUGAAGUUAAAGGCAUUGGCUCAACCAAUGUAUGCUUUGGAAACUGUUAGACUUGAGUGCAGAAGGGGAGAGUGGAAUUCCAUGUGUAGCCGUGAAAUGCGUAGAUAUAUGGAGGAACACCGGUGGCGAAAGCGGCUCUCUGGUCUGUCACUGACGCUGAGGCUCGAAAGCGUGGGUAGCGAACAGGAUUAGAUACCCCCGUAGUCCCUGUCUCUUAUACA